rnacentral:lncRNA from 10 species
CAAACGGCCCUGGGAUUUUCAACUCUGAAGCAUAAGGCAAGUUAAUGAAGCACCCAAUUCACACCAGCUUUUAUCUGUCAGAGAAACACCAGCAAGCAAGGUAGAGACAACAAGCCAAACCCUGAUGUGCAAGUAUGAACUUCAUGUUAAUUAGGAAUCGGAAGAAUGUGUGGGUUUCUCUAAUGCACUCAUCAUACGAAGCCAGCUGAUUCAAAUGCUCUCAACCUGAGCUUCGGGUCAUUUGUGUUAGCUGUAAGGCCAUCUGAGGCAGAUGCAUUGAACCUGACCUUGAGAGUAUCCUUGACCACUGGACCAAGAGGCCAGAGACUCUACAAGUGUGCUCAGGCCAGAUGGCUAACUCAACUAGUGCCUGGCAGGAAGACUCAAGAUGCCAGCUUCUCCCCUAAACCAUGUGAACAUUCAACCAUUUUAAACUAUAAAAACAGCAAUUUCAACCAAAACACUGGACCUUUGCCUAUUUUACUGGAAGUUUCUCUCUUAGAGUAUGAUGAAAAGAGGAUUGGUUGUAAGAGACCUGGCUGCAAGGCUCACCUCCACUAAGUAGCCAUAGACAUUUUGGCCACUAAUGUGCUGUGAGUCACCUUAUUCCUCUGGUCCACAGCUUCUUCAUCUGGGAAAGGAAGACAUUGGAUUGUAAAGUAAGAAUAGCCCACAUUUUUUAGCAUUUGCAAUAUGCUAGGCAAUGUGCUAAUUGCUUGAUUAUUAAAGAGA